rnacentral:sRNA from 1 species
UAGCUCAGUUGGUAGAGCAGUUGACUUUUAAUCAAUUGGUCGCAGGUUCGAAUCCUGCACGACCCACCAAUUUCAGUAUUUAACUCAGAUGCUGAACGUGAAGGAUAACGUUGCGUCAGCAACGGCCCGAAGGGCGAGGCAAAGCCGAGUCAUCCUGCACGACCUACCA